CCUACGGGCGGCAGCAGUGGGGAAUAUUGGACAAUGGGCGAAAGCCUGAUCCAGCCAUGCCGCGUGUGUGAAGAAGGCCAUCGGGUUGUAAAGCACUUUCAGUGGGGAAGAAAGCCUUGGGGCUAAUACCCUCGAGGAAGGACAUCACCCACAGAAGAAGCACCGGCUAACUCCGUGCCAGCAGCCGCGGUAAUACGGAGGGUGCGAGCGUUAAUCGGAAUUACUGGGCGUAAAGCGCGCGUAGGCGGUCUGAUAAGCCGGUUGUGAAAGCCCCGGGCUCAACCUGGGAACGGCAUCCGGAACUGUCAGGCUAGAGUGCAGGAGAGGAAGGUAGAAUUCCCGGUGUAGCGGUGAAAUGCGUAGAGAUCGGGAGGAAUACCAGUGGCGAAGGCGGCCUUCUGGACUGACACUGACGCUGAGGUGCGAAAGCGUGGGUAGCAAACAGGAUUAGAUACCCGAGUAGUC
rnacentral:rRNA from 1 species